GGCUGUGUAGCUCAGUGGUUAGAGCAUCCGGUUGUCAGCCGGAAGGUCGCGGGUUCGAGUCCCGUCACGGUCGC
rnacentral:tRNA from 1 species